rnacentral:rRNA from 1 species
CCUACGGGUGGCAGCAGUGGGGAAUAUUGGACAAUGGGGGGAACCCUGAUCCAGCCAUGCCGCGUGUGUGAAGAAGGCCCUCGGGUUGUAAAGCACUUUCAGUGAGGAAGAACGCCUGGUGGUUAAUACCCAUCAGGAAAGACAUCACUCACAGAAGAAGCACCGGCUAACUCCGUGCCAGCAGCCGCGGUAAUACGGAGGGUGCGAGCGUUAAUCGGAAUUACUGGGCGUAAAGCGCGCGUAGGUGGCUUGAUAAGCCGGUUGUGAAAGCCCCGGGCUCAACCUGGGAACGGCAUCCGGAACUGUCAAGCUAGAGUGCAGGAGAGGAAGGUAGAAUUCCCGGUGUAGCGGUGAAAUGCGUAGAGAUCGGGAGGAAUACCAGUGGCGAAGGCGGCCUUCUGGACUGACACUGACACUGAGGUGUGAAAGCGUGGGUAGCAAACAGGAUUAGAUACCCCUGUAGUC